rnacentral:tRNA from 3 species
GGGCAGAUAGAUCAGCUGGAAGAUCGCGACAUUCGCAAUGUCGAGGCCGCGGGUUCAAAUCCCGCUCUGUCCA